AUUGAACGCUGGCGGCAUGCCUUACACAUGCAAGUCGAGCGGCAGCGCGGGGGCAACCCUGGCGGCGAGCGGCGAACGGGUGAGUAAUGCAUCGGAACGUACCCUGGAGUGGGGGAUAACGCCGCGAAAGCGGCGCUAAUACCGCAUAUGCUCUGAGGAGGAAAGUGGGGGACCGCAAGGCCUCACGCUCUGGGAGCGGCCGAUGUCCGAUUAGCUAGUUGGUGAGGUAAAGGCUUACCAAGGCGACGAUCGGUAGCUGGUCUGAGAGGAUGAUCAGCCACACUGGGACUGAGACACGGCCCAGACUCCUACGGGAGGCAGCAGUGGGGAAUUUUGGACAAUGGGGGCAACCCUGAUCCAGCCAUGCCGCGUGAGUGAAGAAGGCCUCGGUUGUAAG
rnacentral:rRNA from 1 species